UUGAACGCUGGCGGCAUGCCUUACACAUGCAAGUCGAACGGCAGCACGGGAGCAAUCCUGGUGGCGAGUGGGCGAACGGGUGAGUAAUAUAUCGGAACGUGCCCAGUCGUGGGGGAUAACGUAGCGAAAGCUACGCUAAUACCGCAUACGAUCUAUGGAUGAAAGCGGGGGAUCGCAAGACCUCGCGCGAUUGGAGCGGCCGAUAUCAGAUUAGGUAGUUGGUGAGGUAAAGGCUCACCAAGCCGACGAUCUGUAGCUGGUCUGAGAGGACGACCAGCCACACUGGGACUGAGACACGGCCCAGACUCCUACGGGAGGCAGCAGUGGGGAAUUUUGGACAAUGGGCGCAAGCCUGAUCCAGCAAUGCCGCGUGCAGGAUGAAGGCCUUCGGGUUGUAAACUGCUUUGUACGGAACGAAACGGUGAGCUCUAAUACAGUUUGCUAAUGACGGUACCGUAAGAAUAAGCACCGGCUAACUACGUG
rnacentral:rRNA from 1 species